rnacentral:rRNA from 1 species
AAUGAACGCUGGCGGCGUGCUUAACAAAUGCAAGUCGAACGGUGAACACGGAGCUUGCUCUGUGGGAUCAGUGGCGAACGGGUGAGUAACACGUGAGCAACCUGCCCCUGACUCUGGGAUAAGCGCUGGAAACAGCGUCUAAUACUGGAUACGAGUAGCGGCCGCAUGGUCAGUUACUGGAAAGAUUUUUUGGUUGGGGAUGGGCUCGCGGCCUAUCAGCUUGUUGGUGAGGUAAUGGCUCACCAAGGCGUCGACGGGUAGCCGGCCUGAGAGGGUGACCGGCCAGACUGGGACUGAGACACGGCCCAGACGCCUACGGGAGGCAGCAGUGGGGAAUAUUGCACCAUGGGCGAACGCCUGAUGCAGCAACGCAGCGGGAGGGAUGAAGGCCUUCGGGUUGUAAACCUCUUUUAGCAGGGAAGAAGCGAAAGUGACGGUACCUGCAGAAAAAGCGCCGGCUAACUACGUGCCAGCAGCCGCCGUAA